rnacentral:rRNA from 1 species
CACAGAGGGUGCUAGCGUUGUUCGGAAUCAUUGGGCGUAAAGGGCGUGUAGGCGGUUUGUUAAGUCAUGUGUGAAAUCCCUCGGCUCAACCGGGGAACGACGCAUGAAACUGGCAGCUAGAGUACCAAAGAGGGGGGUGGAAUUCCCGGUGUAGCGGUGGAAAUGCGUAGAUAUCGGGAGGAACACCUGUGGCGAAGGCGGCCCCCUGGUUGGAUACGUGACGCUGAGACGCGAAAGCGUGGGGAGCAAACAGG